CUCACAGGCGUACGUCUAUUUUUCUUUUUGGUUUCACCGUGAUUUCCCUUACAAUUAAGGUUUCUGUGUUUGGAAAUUGGAUUUAAUAUUUGUUGCUUAUUACAAACUAUUUUCCCUGUUUGGCAGUGGUGAAAAAUUUAUCCCAUGUUCGAGAUUUGUUCUUAGCUUUAACCAGGGGCUGGAAGCAAACGUGUGGAAAAGGAAGCUGCGGCCAAGAUCUGAUCUGAUGGGUUAAAUUAAAUCUGAUCAUGCGGUGAUGCGUGGUUCCAGAAGGAGAAAGUAAGAUAGAUCUGAUCACAGGGAAUCAAAAAUAGGGUUUUCAUUUUUUGAAGAAGAAAAAAAAAGUGACGAAAUAGAGAAGAAAUAGGGGUUUUGUUCCACUUGUUAGAGAAUAACAGUUGUGUUUUAUAUAUAACUGUGAAAAUUAAGGAUAUCUUAGUAGAGAGAGAGAGCUACUGAUUCUCUCUUAGGCUUAGGGUUAUUUGCAUAGAAUCUUAGCCAAACAUGGYCACCCAUAUUGUACAAUUUGUAAUGUAAAUUAUCUCUCUAUAAACUCGUAUCGUUUUCUUUUGGUUUUA